rnacentral:tRNA from 1 species
GAAGAGAUGGCUGAGUGGUUGAAAGCGGUAGACUGUAAAUCUAUUUAUAUUAUUAUCGUGGGUUCGAAUCCUACUCUCUUCA